rnacentral:rRNA from 1 species
GACGAACGCUGGCGGCGUGCUUAACACAUGCAAGUCGAACGAUGAAGCCUUUCGGGGUGGAUUAGUGGCGAACGGGUGAGUAACACGUGGGCAAUCUGCCCUUCACUCUGGGACAAGCCCUGGAAACGGGGUCUAAUACCGGAUAACACCUACCUCCUCCUGGGGGUUGGUUAAAAGCUCCGGCGGUGAAGGAUGAGCCCGCGGCCUAUCAGCUUGUUGGUGGGGUAAUGGCCUACCAAGGCGACGACGGGUAGCCGGCCUGAGAGGGCGACCGGCCACACUGGGACUGAGGCACGGCCCAGACUCCUACGGGAGGCAGCAGUGGGGAAUAUUGCACAAUGGGCGAAAGCCUGAUGCAGCGACGCCGCGUGAGGGAUGACGGCCU